rnacentral:rRNA from 1 species
AGAGCUCAAAUUUGAAAUCUGGCAGUUUCUAACUGUCUGAAUUGUAAUCUAGAGAAGUGUUAUCCGUGCUGGACUGUGUACAAGUCUUCUGGAACGAAGCGUCGCAGAGGGUGAUAAUCCCGUACCUGACACAGACUACCAGUGCUUUGUGAUACGCUCUCAAAGAGUCGAGUUGUUUGGGAAUGCAGCUCUAAAUGGGUGGUAAAUUCCAUCUAAAGCUAAAUAUUGGCGAGAGACCGAUAGCGAA